AGCUCUCUGUGUCCAGGUCCGUUAAACCACAUUUUCAGGGGGUGGAGGAUUUUAAAAACGCUCCCCACAUAAUUCUCAGGGAGUACAGACUCUCUGAGGGUGAGGACCACCGGGCCUGAUAAUUACUGAGGCAGGAGAAGAGAGAGCAACUAAUGGAAGACCUCAGGCUUAGUGUGCCUGAAAAUGAGAGUCAACAUGGGGUGAACUACUUGGUUCAGUGAGAGAAGAGUGGAAAUCAUAAACAAGCAAAGUCUCAGCACUCAUUGGAGCCAUUGAAUAAGCAGGAUGUAAAAGAAGUGCCGCUUUGAGAUGGAGCUGACCGGCCGGUAGAACUGAGGCUCUGAUCUACGGGGCUGAUUCUUGAGCUUGCUGCAGCUGACGUCUUUGGCCCUGAGUGCGACUUAUUCUCGGCUACACUAAGUGGCAGUGUGCUUGCCAGCCACAGUUGACAAGAAAACAAGCGCACACUCAUUCUGUAGAGCUGCUUCAACCACCACACCUUCCCUGCGGAUGACUGCACCCUCCACAACCAAGAGCCAAAGUAAUCCACUCCUUCCUCAUGAUGAUUUGUCCGUGUUUGGUCACAUCAAUGAGCAAAGAAGCUAUACUCAUAAGGCUCACCAACAUGACUUUCUAAAUAUGAAUUGAACAAGGACAGCAACAACAACACACUUGCCAAAUGGAUGAGGCCUCAACUUUACACAAAGAACUAUAAGCAGGAACACAAAUCUGGUGUAUUGUCAAGUCUGCCUGCCUAUUCUUGAGACUAUCGGGAAUGAACAUCUCAUCUUUUCUCUACUUUCUGUGGAAGCUGACUAUGCCUUCAGAUCUCAAGGGCGAAGCCUUCCAGAGUCAAGUAAAGCGCUGUAGAAAUUAUCUCACAAAUAUGGCCCCAGACGUCUUUCUGAUACCAGGAAAUUCACACAGCAACUUCCACCCUAAUAGAUGGGUCCCUGCCAUCUACCCACAGACUGCUUCCAUGCCUCGUAAGUAACCAAGGACACGAAUGAUUUAGGGUUGGGUUGUUUAUUUAUCUAUUUAUUUAUUUAUUUUGGUUUUUAUGAGACAGGGUUUCUCUGUAUUGUUUCAGAGGCUAUCAGUCCAGCCCGGCCUCGAACUCACAGAGAUCCGCCUGCCUCUGCCUCCCGAGUGCUGGGAUUAAAGGCGUGCACCACCACCGCCUGGCUUGGGUUGUUUUUUAAACAUUGCCUGUUCAUUAAGGAUCCUCAUUUAGCUCUAUGCGAAGACCACAGCACUUCAUCAAUAGACUAGAGGCCUGGCCCCAGUGAUCCUCUGGGUGGCGAGCUGUGUGUACUCCCAGAGCCCUGCUUCUUGGUAGGGACUCCCUUGUCUUCCUACUCUUUCUUAUGCUCAUGGGACCCUCAAAGCCAGUCUCCCUUUUGUAAUCUUGGAAAGCAUUCAUCAAUAACCAGACUUGAGUGUGCUUUCAUAAAGCUGUGGUAAUCAUUCCAGCAUUCUGCAUGUACCCAUUUACUUCUGAAGCCACCUGCUAUGUUAUAAAUUCUUCAAACCAGAGAUAAUAGUAGUCUGUCUUUGCUACACAGAACACAAGGCAAAUAUUCACUAUUUUCUGCUACUUGUUUUGACUCUUUCAGUAGCUAGGUGGAUGUUCUGAAAGAAAAAACAGAGCAGUUUGGAUUGUUGCAUAUAUAUAUACAUAUAUAUUACAUAGCAUAUAGAUUAUAUACAUUAUGUAAUGUAUAGUUUCUAUAGUUCCUGUGAUCCUUAUCAUGGUAAAUUUAUAGCAGUAAAUAUGUCUGUUUAUAUACAUGUGUAAGCUGUCCAUAUACAUAGCAAUACAUUUUAUCUGUUACAUUAAGGACCACUAUGUUUACCCCAUUACUGAAGCAGCUAUGUGCUACUUAUAUAGGAAUAACAACUAACACGUUUUCCUUUCCCUUCCUCUUCUCCUUCUCCUUUUCCUUUUAUUGAGCAUAGGCAGGCAAGACCAUCAUGGUUACUGUUUCAAACAGAAAAUGAAAUGGUUUGUCCUCCCUAGCUUAUCCUUGACUGACAGGGUUUUUGUGCGGUGCAGCUCUGAGUGAGGGAUGGGGAGAGCAGAUUGCUAUGUCUGUUUGUGAGGUAAAUGGAGGCAGAAUGAAACUCCCACUCAGAAACCGCCUCACAUCACUGGGUGUGGACACGCAGCUGCCUCCCACAGCUGGAUGCAGACUCGCAGCUGCCUCCCACCAUCGAGUGAGGACACGCAGCUGCCUCCCACCAUCGAAUGAGGACACGCAGCUGCCUCCCACCAUCGAAUGAGGACACGCAGCUGCCUCCCACCAUCGAGUGAGGACACGCAGCUGCCUCCCACCAUUGAAUGAGGACACGCAGCUGCCUCCCACCAUCAAAUGAGGACGUGCAGCUGCCUCCCACCGCCAGUUGUGGACACACAGAUGUCUCCCACCACCGGAUGUGUACAUGCAGCCUUAUGGUUGUGGACAUGCAGCCUUGGACUCCAUUCGUGUGUGUCAAGCCCUCACAGCUCAUGUGAGUCAUCUCCGCAGCAAAGGCAGCUGGCAUGGUCUGUGUCAACCUGGGGUCUUCUGUCUCACGUGACCUUGGCUCACUGGCUAAUAGGUGAUUAUCUAGCCUGUCUCCUAUGGGGUAUUGUCUAAAUAGACUCCAAUAAAGUACUUAUAAAUGAA